rnacentral:piRNA from 1 species
UCAGAACGUCCUCAGAACCGCAGGAGC